rnacentral:rRNA from 1 species
CCUACGGGAGGCAGCAGUGGGGAAUAUUGCACAAUGGGGGAAACCCUGAUGCAGCGACGCCGCGUGAGUGAGGAAGUAUUUCGGUAUGUAAAGCUCUAUCAGCAGGGAAGAAAAUGACGGUACCUGACUACUCAGCCCCGGCUAACUACGAGCCAGCAGCCGCGGUCAUACGCAGGGGGCAAGCGUUAUCCGGAUUUACUGGGUGUAAAGGGAGCGUAGACGGCUAAUCAAGUCAGAAGUGAAAACCCAGGGCUCAACUUUGGGAGUGCUUUUGAAACUGAGUAGCUAGAGUGCAGUAGAGGUCAGCGGAAUUCCAAGUGUAGCGGUGGAAUGCGUAGAUAUUAGGAGGAACACCAGUGGCGAAGGCGGCUUACUGGACUGUAACUGACGUUGAGGCUCGAAAGCGUGGGGAGCAAACAGGAUUAGAUACCCUAGUAGUC